rnacentral:rRNA from 1 species
GAUGAACGCUGGCGGCGUGCCUAAUACAUGCAAGUCGAGCGAAUGGAUUAAGAGCUUGCUCUUAUGAAGUUAGCGGCGGACGGGUGAGUAACACGUGGGUAACCUGCCCAUAAGACUGGGAUAACUCCGGGAAACCGGGGCUAAUACCGGAUAAUAUUUUGAACUGCAUGGUUCAAAAUUGAAAGGCGGCUUCGGCUGUCACUUAUGGAUGGACCCGCGUCGCAUUAGCUAGUUGGUGAGGUAACGGCUCACCAAGGCAACGAUGCGUAGCCGACCUGAGAGGGUGAUCGGCCACACUGGGACUGCGACGCGGCCCAGACUCCUACGGGAGGCAGCAGGAGGGAAUCUUCCGCAAUGGACGAAAGUCUGACGGAGCAACGCCGCGUGAGUGAUGGAGGCUUUCGGGUCGUAAAACUCUGUUGUUAGGGAAGAACAAGUGCUAGUUGAAUAAGCUGGCACCUUGACGGUACCUAACCAGAAAGCCACGGCUAACUACGUGCCAGCCGCCGCGGUAA